GACGAACGCUGGCGGCGUGCCUAAUACAUGCAAGUAGAACGCUGAAGAGAGGAGCUUGCUCUUCUUGGAUGAGUUGCGAACGGGUGAGUAACGCGUAGGUAACCUGCCUUGUAGCGGGGGAUAACUAUUGGAAACGAUAGCUAAUACCGCAUAACUAUGGAUGACACAUGUCAUUUAUUUGAAAGGGGCAAUUGCUCCACUACAAGAUGGACCUGCGUUGUAUUAGCUAGUAGGUGAGGUAACGGCUCACCUAGGCGACGAUACAUAGCCGACCUGAGAGGGUGAUCGGCCACACUGGGACUGAGACACGGCCCAGACUCCUACGGGAGGCAGCAGUAGGGAAUCUUCGGCAAUGGGGGCAACCCUGACCGAGCAACGCCGCGUGAGGGAAGAAGGUUUUCGGAUCGUAAAGCUCUGUUGUAAGUCAAGAACGAGUGUGAGAGUGGAAAGUUCACACUGUGACGGUAGCUUACCAGAAAGGGACGGCUAACUACGUG
rnacentral:rRNA from 1 species